UACGUAGGGACCAAGCGUUGUUCGGAUUUACUGGGCGUAAAGGGCGCGUAGGCGGCGUGUUAAGUCAGCUGUGAAAUCUCCGAGCUUAACUCGGAACGGUCAUCUGAUACUGAUGUGCUAGAGUGCAGAAGGGGCAAUCGGAAUUCUUGGUGUAGCGGUGAAAUGCGUAGAUAUCAAGAGGAACACCUGAGGUGAAGACGGGUUGCUGGGCUGACACUGACGCUGAGGCGCGAAAGCCAGGGGAGCAAACGGG
rnacentral:rRNA from 1 species